rnacentral:tRNA from 1 species
GGAGAUAUAACUCACUUGUUAGAGUGCUUGCUUUGCAUGCACAAGGCCCUGGGUUCAAUCCCCAGUACCACAA